GGGGGCGACAUGGUUUCGACGGGGUUGUAGUAGGUCUUUGCCGCGUGCCGAGCACUUCAGUUAACUCGUUAAACUUCCUGGAAUUCAAUUUAAUUGCCAACGAUAGCAAUUACGCGCUCGCCGCUUAGUCGGUGAGGGCACUCGCCUCAUAGAAAGGCGAGUCGUCCGCCCCUCCUUGUUCGUGAGAGGGAAUCGGGCGUCUUGAAGCGAACUGGCCAACUCCCAGAGCACAUCCGGGGAGAAGGUGAGAUACAGGGAUGAGCUGGUCGAUUGGGAUCCUGCCCCUGGGAGCCCGUGAGACGAGACUUAAACCAGCGGGCUACGCGCGUAGAAGGUAGAGGGUGAGCAGCUUCGGACGCGGGUUCGAUUCCCGCCGCCUCCACCA
rnacentral:tmRNA from 1 species